ensembl:lncRNA LINC02389 long intergenic non-protein coding RNA 2389
AUUCCCGGAGGAGUCCUGUUGAGGGCAGAGUGACUGUGAGCAAAACAAGAAGAGCUGUGUCACCAAGUUCCAUAAAAUCUGGGAGCCCAAGCAGCAUAUUUGUGGGAUUUGUCUGACAGAACGCAAUGGAAACAGAGCGUGGCAUUCGCUCCAUCUCCCCCAGGUCACCUGUGGAGAAAGAAACAUCAUCUCUCAACAGAGGAUUGUUCCUCCGUUUGAUGAUACGUGCAUCCUGCCAUCUGGAAUUCAAUUGACUGUUCUGUCUUGGAGCCAAGAAUCUAGAAACUUCUGCAAACAAGCUUCUCUUACUCUAUGUCUCCACCAAAUGAGGUACUUCUGCAUCUACUUCUGCUCACAGAACUGCCUAGGUGGUCCACCAAGAAGGAAAAUUGUUUACUCUGGUAUCUUCCUAAGAAACUGUACACUUAAAUUGUUUUGUCUUCAAGGAGAUUCAUAGAAAGGACUCUAACAAGUUUCUGAUAACUUUAAGAUUAUACCAUUAAACUAGGUAAAGGAAGAUUUUCAUGAUUCACUGACUGAGGACAAUCAAAUUCUUCACCACGUAGAACCUAGACAUUGGGUCUUUGGAAAGGACAUCAGAGAAAGACUGCCAUUAAGCUCCAUUGGAAGAGACCAUAUCAAGUUCUUUUCUGCAGCAAACCAUCAGGCUCUCAAGUCUUGGAUCUAUGUCUCUCAACUCAAAAGAGCUCCUCCAGACUCCUGGAACUGUAUACCUAUUGGAGACUCUAAGGUAAAGCUCACCAGGGAAGAUUUCCCCCAGGAGCAGUUGGCAUCCUAGACUUCAACAGCUUUCGUAAGAUUGUGGAUCAAGACUUCUCUGCCAUCAUGAAAGUCUUAUCUUUUCCCUUUCUUCCCAAUUUCCUGCUGUCCCAGUCCCUUUCUUUUACUUAUAGGAAAAUCCAUGGGGCCAUAAUCUGUGGAUGGCUUUAGCUAAGUCUUAUGCUGUAGUGAAAAAACAGAGCAAUUGUUGGGUUUAUGAAGAUAAGCUAGUUUCUACUGAGGAAAGAUUCCAGUGGCAUUCCUGGGGGCUCAGUCUUGGUACUAGCAGGGUACUGGUAGUAUGGAAUUUGAAAGUAAUCCAUAAAAUGAGAAAAAUCUUGGGUUUGACCAACCAGUCCCCACAGAGGUUCAGGUGAGUAGAAGUCAUCUUUUGAAAACACUUAAUAAAACAUCAUGCAGUUUUGGAUCCUGUUUCCUUAGACACUGCCACCAAAUACAUAAAGGAAAUUUCUCAGAGGAAAGAAACAUAUGACAUGUUCAUAGGAGCAGCAAACCAUUGGUUUGCAGGUAGGCUUGGCUUUUCCAAGGUGUUCUAACCUUUAUGCUCUUCUAAUGGUUCUCCAGAUUACUAUGACUUGUGUUAACAAGAUAAUGACAACAUUGGAUACCUCUUUAAAUCAGCAAACUGCAGUUCUUAAUCAUUAUCACCUCCUGAACAAAAACCAUGACCAACGGUACUCAAAUGCUUUUGAGCUGCCUGUAAGGGAGGAGACCACCCCUCAUAUUGUCUUAUGCCCAAUUUCUGCCUCCAAAUAAAGAAGAAGUAAAAACUAAAAGGCAGAAACGAAAUCCACAAGCAGACAGCCCGGUGCCACACCCUGGGCCUGGUAGUUAAAGAUCGAUGCCUGACCUAAUCAGUUAUGUUAUCUAUAGAUUACAGAUAUCGUAUAGGAAAGCACUGUGAAAAUCCCUGUCCUGUUUUGUUCCGAUCUAAUUACCAGUGCAUGC